rnacentral:rRNA from 1 species
UACGGAGGGUGCAAGCGUUGUCCGGAAUCACUGGGCGUAAAGCGUCCGCAGCCGGCGCGUUAAGUGUGAUGUUAAAUCGUGGGGCUCAACCCCGUCGAUGCAUCACAUACUGGCGUGCUAGAGGAAAUCAGAGGCAAGUGGAAUUUGUAGUGUAGCAGUGAAAUGCGUAGAUAUUACAAGGAACACCAAUGGCGAAGGCAGCUUGCUGGGAUUUUUCUGACGGUCAGGGACGAAAGCGUGGGGAGCGAACAGG